rnacentral:rRNA from 1 species
AGUCGAGGGGUAGAGUUCUUCGGAGCUUGAGACCGGCGCACGGGUGCGUAACGCGUAUGCAAUCUACCUUUUACAGAGGGAUAGCCCAGAGAAAUUUGGAUUAAUACCUCAUAGUAUAAUUGAAUGGCAUCAUUUAAUUAUUAAAGUCACAACGGUAAAAGAUGAGCAUGCGUCCCAUUAGCUAGUUGGUAAGGUAACGGCUUACCAAGGCUACGAUGGGUAGGGGUCCUGAGAGGGAGAUCCCCCACACUGGUACUGAGACACGGACCAGACUCCUACGGGAGGCAGCAGUGAGGAAUAUUGGACAAUGGGCGCAAGCCUGAUCCAGCCAUGCCGCGUGCAGGAUGACGGUCCUAUGGAUUGUAAACUGCUUUUGUACAGGAAGAAACACUGGUUCGUGAACCAGCUUGACGGUACUGUAAGAAUAAGGAUCGGCUAACUCCGUGCCAGCAGCCGCGGUAAUACGGAGGAUCCAAGCGUUAUCCGGAAUCAUUGGGUUUAAAGGGUCCGUAGGCGGUUUGGUAAGUCAGUGGUGAAAGCCCAUCGCUCAACGGUGGAACGGCCAUUGAUACUGCUAGACUUGAAUUAUUAGGAAGUAACUAGAAUAUGUAGUGUAGCGGUGAAAUGCUUAGAGAUUACAUGGAAUACCAAUUGCGAAGGCAGGUUACUACUAAUAUAUUGACGCUGAUGGACGAAAGCGUGGGUAGCGAACAGGAUUAGAUACCCUGGUAGUCCACGCCGUAAACGAUGGAUACUAGCUGUUGGGCGCAAGUUCAGUGGCUAAGCGAAAGUGAUAAG